ACGCUGACAGAAUGCUUAACACAUGCAAGUCAACUUGAAUUUGGGUUUUUAACUUAGAUUUGGGUGGCGGACGGGUGAGUAACGCGUAAAGAACUUGCCUCACAGCUAGGGACAACAUUUAGAAAUGAAUGCUAAUACCUGAUAUUAUGAUUUUAAGGCAUCUUAGAAUUAUGAAAGCUAUAAGCACUGUGAGAGAGCUUUGCGUCCCAUUAGCUAGUUGGAGAGGUAACAGCUCACCAAGGCGAUGAUGGGUAGCCGGCCUGAGAGGGUGAACGGCCACAAGGGGACUGAGACACGGCCCUUACUCCUACGGGAGGCAGCAGUGGGGAAUAUUGGACAAUGGACCGAGAGUCUGAUCCAGCAAUUCUGUGUGCACGAUGAAGUUUUUCGGAAUGUAAAGUGCUUUCAGUUGGGAAGAAAUAAAUGACGGUACCAACAGAAGAAGUGACGGCUAAAUACGUGCCAGCAGCCGCGGUAAUACGUAUGACACGAGCGUUAUCCGGAUUUAUUGGGCGUAAAGCGCGUCUAGGUGGUUAUGUAAGUCUGAUGUGAAAAUGCAGGGCUCAACUCUGUAUUGCGUUGGAAACUGUAUAACUAGAGUACUGGAGAGGUAAGCGGAACUACAAGUGUAGAGGUGAAAUUCGUAGAUAUUUGUAGGAAUGCCGAUGGGGAAGCCAGCUUACUGGACAGAUACUGACGCUAAAGCGCGAAAGCGU
rnacentral:rRNA from 1 species